rnacentral:sRNA from 1 species
CUGACAAUUUCAGAGACUGAAGAUCUUUAUUUAUCCACAGAAUAUGUAUUACAAGGACAGUUCAAGCUUCCCCUCACAGCCCCAUCAGUGCCUCACGCAUUUAGCCAAGACCAUCUUAAGGGUCAGGCUUCUAUUUAUACAUCCAAUUCAGUUCUUGGCCUCU